CCUACGGGGGGCUGCAGUGGGGAAUAUUGGACAAUGGGCGAAAGCCUGAUCCAGCAAUGCCGCGUGAGUGAUGAAGGCCUUAGGGUUGUAAAGCUCUUUUAGCAAGGAAGAUAAUGACGUUACUUGCAGAAGAAGCCCCGGCUAACUCCGUGCCAGCAGCCGCGGUAAUACGGAGGGGGCUAGCGUUGUUCGGAAUUACUGGGCGUAAAGCGCGCGUAGGCGGUUUGGUAAGUCAGAAGUGAAAGCCCCGGGCUCAACCUCGGAAUUGCUUUCAAAACUACUAAUCUAGAGUGUAGUAGGGGA
rnacentral:rRNA from 1 species